AUACGGAGGAUGCGAGCGUUAUCCGGAUUUAUUGGGUUUAAAGGGUGCGUAGGCGGUCGGGUAAGCGUAGGGUGAAAGUCCUCUGCUCAACAGAGGAAGUGCCUUCCGAACUGUCCGACUGGAAUGCUCCUGCCGUGGGAGGAAUGUGUGGUGUAGCGGUGAAAUGCAUAGAGAUCUCACAGAACACCGAUUGCGAAGGCAUCUCACGAAGGGGCUAUUGACGCUGAGGCACGAAAGCGUGGGGAUCAAACAGGAUUAGAUACCCUGGUAGUCCACGCAGUAAACGAUGAUGACUAACCGUCGGUCAAGACUGAUCGGUGGCCAAGCGAAAGCGAUAAGUCAUCCACCUGGGGAGUACGACCGCAAGGUUGAAACUUAAAGGAAUUGACGGGG
rnacentral:rRNA from 1 species